UGUUUUUGAACUUGAUCCAAAAGGUUGCCAACUGACAUAUUUUGAUCGGGAGACCAACUGGAUCGAUUUUAUAAGAACCUCUUCGGAAUUAGAUCUGCAACACAACGAUGAAAGACAAGGUGUUUCAAGAGGAUUAUUUUGAGUUAGAUCCUGCUGCCUUGCCAACUGAGAUAUUUAUAUGCCAAGGAAGCAAGAUCUAGCUCAUGGCAACCUCUUGGUAUUCAAAUAGAGAGCAACCUCUUGGUAUUCAAAUAAAGAUUUAUAACCUCUUUGUAUCUAUCUAUCUAUCUAUCUAUCUAUCUAUAUAGUUUCUACAACAUGCUGACGUUCUUCAUCAUGCAGUCAAAUAGAGAGCUAUCUAUCAAAUAGAUCUGACCAACGAAGCAUCCAACUUGAUUGUCCCUCUUGUACUAUACUGACAAAAGAUCGAGAACAUGGUUCUCACGUCGUCGUCGUUCAUGAGCUUCAUCCGACUGAACCGCACACUUCUAACUGAGUCGGUCGAUAGACGUCGAUACUCAACACCAUACACUCUCUGUGUGUCUCUGUAGUUGAGUUGGAUGUAGAUUUAAUCCAUUUGAGCUUUCAACCCAGAGAGGGUGACAUCAGUGCGAAUCCUGAACAGAUGGGGUGAUUUCCCCUAUUGUAUUAAACUGCAGCUAACUUGGUGUUUGGAUCAAAGACAAAGUUUUUCAAUUUUUUUAUGUGUGGUUU
rnacentral:lncRNA from 1 species